rnacentral:tRNA from 1 species
UGGAGGGUUGGCCGAGUGGUCUAAGGCGGCAGACUUAAGAUCUGUUGGACGAUUGUCCGCGCGAGUUCGAACCUCGCAUCCUUCAG